AGUAGAAUGCCUGAAUUUAAAAAGGGUUAUCGUGAUAGGAUAAAUAAUGUAAUUUUAUUACUUUUACUU
rnacentral:tRNA from 1 species